rnacentral:rRNA from 1 species
UACCAGCACCCCGAGUGGUCGGGACGUUUAUUGGGCCUAAAGCAUCCGUAGCCGGUUCUGCAAGUCUUCCGUUAAAUCCACCUGCUUAACAGAUGGGCUGCGGAAGAUACUAUAGAGCUAGGAGGCGGGAGAGGCAAGCGGUACUCGAUGGGUAGGGGUAAAAUCCGUUGAUCCAUUGAAGACCACCAGUGGCGAAGACGGCUUGCCAGAACGCGCUCGACGGUGAGGGAUGAAAGCUGGGGGAGCAAACCGG